rnacentral:rRNA from 1 species
UCGUCCUUGGGAUACCACCCUGACAGUACUGGAAUUCUAACUGGAGGCCAUGAAUCUGGUCACAGGACAUUGCUAGGUGGGCAGUUUGACUGGGGCGGUCGCCUCCUAAAAGGUAACGGAGGCGCCCAAAGGUUCCCUCAGCGCGGUCGGAAAUCGCGCGUAGAGUGCAAAGGCAGAAGGGAGCCUGACUGCGACACAUACAGGUGGAGCAGGGACGAAAGUCGGGCUUAGUGAUCCGGUGGUUCUGUAUGGAAGGGCCAUCGCUCAACGGAUAAAAGCUACCUCGGGGAUAACAGGCUGAUCUCCCCCAAGAGUCCACAUCGACGGGGAGGUUUGGCACCUCGAUGUCGGCUCGUCGCAUCCUGGGGCUGUAGUCGGUCCCAAGGGUUGGGCUGUGCGCCCAUUAAAGCGGCACGCGAGCUGGGUGCAGAACGUCGUGAGACAGUUCGGUCCCUAUCCGCCGUGGGCGUAGGAAAUUUGAGAGGAGCUGUCCUUAGUACGAGA